rnacentral:rRNA from 1 species
CGACACGCUGGCGGCGUGCCUAAUACAUGCAAGUCGAACGGGGAAAGAGUAGCAAUAUCUUUUCUAGUGGCGAACGGGUGAGUAACGCGUGAGCAACCUGCCUCAAAGAGGGGGACAACACUGGGAAACCGGUGCUAAUACCGCAUAAGACCACGCUACCACAUGGUGGAGGGGUCAAAGGAGCAAUCCGCUUUGAGAGGGGCUCGCGUCCCAUUAGAUAGUUGGUGAGGUAACGGCCCACCAAGUCAGCGAUGGGUAGCCGAGCUGAGAGGCUGAACGGCCACACUGGAACUGAGACACGGUCCAGACUCCUACGGGAGGUAGCAGUAGGGAAUAUUGGGCAAUGGGGGAAACCCUGACCCAGCAACGCCGCGUGAGGGAAGAAGGUUUUCGGAUUGUAAACCUCUGUCCUAUGUGACGAAGGAAGUGACGGUAGCAUAGGAGGAAGCCCCGGCUAACUACGUG